GACGAACGCUGGCGGCGUGCUUAACACAUGCAAGUCGAACGGUGACCCAGGGCUUGCCCUGGUGAUCAGUGGCGAACGGGUGAGUAACACGUGGGCAACCUGCCCCCUGACUUCGGGAUAACUCCUCGAAAGAGGAGCUAAUACCGGAUACGACCACUUCGGACAUCCGAUGGUGGUGGAAAGUUUUUCGGUCAGGGAUGGGCCCGCGGCCUAUCAGCUAGUUGGUGGGGUAAUGGCCUACCAAGGCGACGACGGGUAGCCGGCCUGAGAGGGCGACCGGGCCACACUGGGACUGAGACACGGGCCCAGACUCCUACGGGAGGCAGCAGUGGGAAUAUUGCGCAAUGGGCGAAAGCCUGACGCAGCGACGCCGCGUGAGGGAUGAAGGCCUCGGGUUGUAACCGUCUUUCAGCAGGACGAAGCGAAGU
rnacentral:rRNA from 1 species